AAGGAAUAGUGUUAUUAUAUGUUUUCCAGCCAUAUUAUCAUUUUAUAGCACAAUCAAGUAACUGUGUUACCUUCACUUGUUAAAAAAAAUCUAUAUAUUUAUAUAU